CGCAUCUGUGCAUGCAGCAUAUCAAUAAGCGGAGGAAAAGAAACUAACAAGGAUUCCCUUAGUAACGGCGAGUGAAGCGGGAAGAGCUCAAUAUUUGAAAUCUUCAAGGUUUUACCUUGACGAAUUGUAGUUUAAAGAAGUGUUUUCUGUUGAAGUUUUGGUAAAAGUUCUUUGGAAGUAGGACAUCAUAGAGGGUGAGAAUCCCGUAUUUGACCAUUAUUUUCAGCUGCGUGAUACACUUUCAAAGAGUCGGAUUGUUUGGGAAUGCAGUCCAAAAUGGGUGGUAAAUUUCAUCUAAAGCUAAAUAUUGGCGAGAGACCGAUAGCGAACAAGUACCGUGAGGGAAAGAUGAAAAGAACUUUGAAAAGAGAGUUAAACAGUACGUGAAAUUGUCAAAAGGGAAGCGUUUGACACCAGUGUUGUUUUCUCGAAAAUCAAUUAAAAAGAGUUUAGAUUUUGUUGUGUAUUGACCUUAACAGCUUGCAUUUCAAUUUUCUUGCUUUUUUUAAUGCACUUUUCGUUUAACAAGUCAACAUCAGUUUCUCUUGUUGUAAAAAGGUCAUUGGAAGGUGGCUUUCUUUUCGGAGAAAGUGUUUAUAGCCUUUGACUCCUGCAACCGGAGAGACUGAGGUCUGCAGCGUAGAUCCUUCGGGGUUAGAUACAUUUGUGCUAAGUUAUAGCUUUUUAUAGACAACUUGUUGACUAUGAUUAGUCUUGUAGCUUACUCGCUUACGCUAUUUUACCUACGCUUAGGAUGUUGAUGUGAUACUGCGAGC
rnacentral:rRNA from 1 species